rnacentral:rRNA from 1 species
ACGGGUGAGUAAUGUCUGGGGAUCUGCCCGAUAGAGGGGGAUAACCACUGGAAACGGUGGCUAAUACCGCAUAACGUCGCAAGACCAAAGAGGGGGACCUUCGGGCCUCUCACUAUCGGAUGAACCCAGAUGGGAUUAGCUAGUAGGCGGGGUAAUGGCCCACCUAGGCGACGAUCCCUAGCUGGUCUGAGAGGAUGACCAGCCACACUGGAACUGAGACACGGUCCAGACUCCUACGGGAGGCAGCAGUGGGGAAUAUUGCACAAUGGGCGCAAGCCUGAUGCAGCCAUGCCGCGUGUAUGAAGAAGGCCUUCGGGUUGUAAAGUACUUUCAGCGGGGAGGAAGGCGAUGUGGUUAAUAACCGCAUCGAUUGACGUUACCCGCAGAAGAAGCACCGGCUAACUCCGUGCCAGCAGCCGCGGUAAUACGGAGGGUGCAAGCGUUAAUCGGAAUUACUGGGCGUAAAGCGCACGCAGGCGGUCUGUUAAGUCAGAUGUGAAAUCCCCGGGCUUAACCUGGGAACUGCAUUUGAAACUGGCAGGCUUGAGUCUUGUAGAGGGGGGUAGAAUUCCAGGUGU